AUGCAAGAUGUGCAGGUUUGGUAUACGCAAGAGGGCAAAACACAGGACAAAUGCCUACAUUGUCUGCUCAAGAGAAGGGUCCACAAGCAGGCUGUGUCAGAUUAUCACCGUGUACGUCAAAAGACAUCAAAAAGGAUUGGCUGCAAUGCAAAGAUUAGAGUCAAAAAAAGGAAGGAUGGCAAAUUUGUGAUAGUAAUGGUUCAACUCAACCACAAUCACAAGAUGCUGGAAAGCCCCGGGAUGCUUUUGCACAUGCGACUGCACAAAAAAGACGAUCCUUUGAUAAACCAGUUAGUGAAAGACAUGCAACUGGACAACCACACACAUGCUCAGAUGAUGUCGACGCUGUCGCGUAUGUCCGGUGGUCUGCAGUACAUGGGACAUACUAGCCGCGACUGGGUAAACAGGAAACAGAAGUUUGUCAGAGAAGAGUCUGAAGAUGAUGUCAAGAAACUUCUGAAUUUCUUCGAGAAAAUGCAAAAGAUAAACCCAGAGUUCUUUUAUGAUUAUGACGCGAACGCAAGUUGCAGAGGAUCGUAUGAAGAUUUUGGAGACUGCGUUACAUUUGACACGACUUAUAAAACUAACAAAUUCCACAUGCCCCUGGGAGUGUUUGUGGGGGUGAACCAUCAUCUACAAAGCACCGUAUUUGCUGUUGCACUCGUGCGAGAUGAAACAAUACCAUCAUUUGAGUGGGUUUUCAAAACCUUUCUGAGGUAUAUGAACAACAAGCCGCCAAUCUGCAUGCUCACAGACCAGUGUUCUUCGAUGAAGGCAGCAUUAAAAACUAUCCGCCCACAAAUUCUGCAUAAGUUGUGUCGGUGGCAUAUCAUGAAGAAGUACAAGGACCACCUCGCCUUGCUGUAUAAGGCGCACGAGAAGCUCAAGGACGAACUCAAUGCAGUGUUGAACCACCCACUAAUGCCGUCAGAAUUUGAACGAGCAUGGAAGAACCUCAUUCAGAGGUACAACUUGCAAGACGACGAAGUGAUGAAUUCACUGUGGGAUGACAGGCACGAGUGGAUCUCAGCUUACUACAAGGAAAUUUUCUGUGCUCGGAUGACUUCCACACAGAGAAGCGAGAGCAUGAACCGCAUACUGAAGAAAUUUUUUGUCAGGGAGAAGCAUGAUCUCCAUCUGUUUGCUCAGCAGGUGGACAAGUGCAUUCAGACCAGGAAGGCCGUCGAGCACGCAGAGACAGUAGCAAAUGAGGAAAACAAAAUGUCAAUCAAAAACUGCUUAAAAAAUAUGAAUAAAAAAAACAAUUUUUUCAUUUCUCUUGGUCGUAACAGUGCAUUUGUGAUCAUGCGGUCAGAGGUAAAAAACAACAACAAAGUUUGGCUUCGAAGUUCAGCUAUCAAAAGUGUAUACAAGAGCAGUGUUUGCAGAUUUCAAAGAAACACUCUACAGUAG
rnacentral:rRNA from 1 species